rnacentral:lncRNA from 1 species
UCCUACGUUCCAACAUCCAACUAUCCAACUUCCCACAUUUCCAACGGUGACGUAAAAAACGCUAAAAACGUUAGUCUUGCUUAAAACUUUGGCUUGUUAAGGCAGAUUUUUGAUUGAAAGUUAAUUUUAGACAAAAAUUCACAUUUACUUCAACUAAAUUUAUAGUUAUUUAAUAUAGAAAGGUAAAAUAAUGUCUUUCUAGUUUUUGUAAAGUUAAAUCUUAAUUUUAGCGGAC